AGAGAUUAUGACACAAUGUUAACUGUUGUACUCCCAUUAUAAGUAAAAUAACAAAAAUACCAAACUCUGAGGAUAACCUAAAACGGAAAGUUUUUUUGUUUCAAAUAGCAAAAUCUAAAGCUAAAUCAACACAUCAAACAAAUGGAAAGCAAUAGUCAUGUUCUUGACAUUUGACAGGUAUUUCAUUAUGUAGAAAAACAACUUUACAUAGACCACCUGAUAUCUUAUAAAAAACAGUAGUGGCAAAACGGCAGUUCUAAUAUCAAAAGAAACGAUAUGAGCAUGGUUUUAAACUUGGAAGUAGUUGAGUAACAU
rnacentral:lncRNA from 1 species